rnacentral:rRNA from 1 species
AUGUCUGAACUAGAAUCCCAAUUUGCAUAUUCCAGAAAGGUGGACAACUUAUUCAAAAAUGGUGUUCUGCUGCUAGUUGAUAACUCUUGCUUGGUAAAUUCAGUAUGCUUUGUACCUGGUCAUCAGAAUGAUCUUGCUGUUACUAAUGUCGAUGGCAUGCUCAAGUCGACUGCUGAAGAUAACUGCAGUACACGCAUUUUAAUACAGGGAAAUGCAUUGCGUUUUCCCUGUGAGGCUAGACCUGAACAGCAUGAGGACAUAUGCAACAGGGAGAGUGCCGCUGGAGUUUCUACAAAUUUGCAAGUGCAAGAGCAUGCUGCCAUAUGCAACUUUCCUACAUCCGACCAUCAGUCAAGGAUGAAAGAAAACUGCAAGAAAUGCUACCUUAUACUCCAUUGCAGAAUUUUCUGGUCUCUUCAGUGGAGCAGUAAACCAUGGUCUUCUGGACAUCUUGAAUCUUAUCUGAAUUCUUACUCAAUCAGCGUCACUCUGAAUUGCAACUAUGGGCAUUUGUAUGUGCAGCUUGAGAAGUUACGGGCCACUGGAAUUGAGGGAGAGAUAUUUGGUCAAAACUGUACUUCCUGCUGCGUCUGGGAUCUUUGA